GCAAACUUGGUCAUUUAGAGGAAGUAAAAGUCGUAACAAGGUUUCCGUAGGUGAACCUGCGGAAGGAUCAUUAGAAGAAGAGGGAUCGAUCCCGACGAACGUGGGGAAUCGAUCCGAAUCCACAUCCACCCCGUGUGCACUCAUCGACCGUUUGCUUUGGCAGGAAAGGAGCCUCCGUUCCGGAGGUGCCGGGAGGACACGCGUGUAAUAUUAUGUACGAUAUUGUAUGCGUAGCCUCGGCCUGCCGGAGUUUUUUUUCCCUCAAACUCGCGCCUUUCUUUUUUCUACUGAACCUUUCGUCUCGAUUCUCUUUGCAAUCGGUCGAAUCGGAUACAACUUUCAACAACGGAUCUCUUGGCUCUCGCAUCGAUGAAGAACGCAGC
rnacentral:misc_RNA from 1 species